rnacentral:rRNA from 1 species
AUUUUCGGCAAUGGGGGGAACCCUGACCGAGCAACGCCGCGUGAAGGAAGAAGUAUUUCGGUAUGUAAAGCUCUAUCAGCAGGGAAGAAAGUGACGGUACCUGAGUAAGAAGCCCCGGCUAACUACGUGCCAGCAGCCGCGGUAAUACGUAGGGGGCAAGCGUUAUCCGGAUUUACUGGGUGUAAAGGGAGUGUAGACGGCGAUGCAAGUCUGAAGUGAAAGCCCGGUGCUCAACAUCGGGACUGCUUUGGAAACUGUAUAGCUGGAGUGCCGGAGAGGUAAGCGGAAUUCCUAGUGUAGCGGUGAAAUGCGUAGAUAUUAGGAAGAACACCAGUGGCGAAGGCGGCUUACUGGACGGUAACUGACGUUGAGGCUCGAAAGCGUGGGGAGCAAACA